rfam:Capsicum annuum cultivar Zunla-1 chromosome 6, whole genome shotgun sequence
GUGACCUAUGCCUGAGCGGGUCGAAGCCAGAGGAAACUCUGGUGGAGGCCUACAACGAUACUAAUGUGAAAAUCGUUCGUCUGACUUGGGUAUAGUGGCAUGACAUCCCCAUUACGC